rnacentral:rRNA from 1 species
GACGAACGCUGGCGGCGUGCUUAACACAUGCAAGUCGAACGGAAAGGCCCUGCUUUUGUGCGGUGCUCGAGUGGCGAACGGGUGAGUAACACGUGAGUAACCUGCCCUUGACUUUGGGAUAACUUCAGGAAACUGGGGCUAAUACCGGAUAGCAGCCCCUGCUGCAUGGUGGGGGUUGGAAAGUUUCGGCGGUUGGGGAUGGACUCGCGGCUUAUCAGCUUGUUGGUGGGGUAGUGGCUUACCAAGGCUUUGACGGGUAGCCGGCCUGAGAGGGUGACCGGCCACAUUGGGACUGAGAUACGGCCCAGACUCCUACGGGAGGCAGCAGUGGGGAAUAUUGCACAAUGGGCGGAAGCCUGAUGCAGCAACGCCGCGUGCGGGAUGACGGCCUUCGGGUUGUAAACCGCUUUCGCCUGUGACGAAGCGUGAGUGACGGUAAUGGGUAAAGAAGCACCGGCUAACUACGUG